AUGCUGAAAGAGCACCCAGUGAGUGGCCCAUCACAGCCAUCCAGCCUCAGUUCCUGGCCUCUUUGUGGCUCAGACUCUGGUCCCAUCACCUCCACUUGGGAACUCAGAGCAUCCUCUUUCUCCUUCCUGCUGGGGUGGUGGUGGCCACCCAGCCGCCUCUGUCUCUUUAAGGGAGAGAGAGAGAAAGAACGAAAUCAGGAAGUGUGAGAGAGCUGAGCGCUGCUGAGCCGCAGAGUGUCCGCGCCGCCGAGAGGCAGAGAGGAAACCCUCGGCUGGCUCUUCCCAGCUCCUGGGGUGGCACACAGCCACUUCAACUUGCCCAGUCUUCGGGUUCCCAGGGCCUGUGGCCACCAGGAUGCUAUGAGCACUGCCCAUGAAUGACAGCGAGUCUUGAAAGCUCUGGGGGUGCCACCCAGUCCUACAAGCCUGCAUGCCCCACAGCCGAGAUGGGCUCAGCUCCUGGACUUGCCGCAGACAGAAAGCAUAACACAUACUCGUCAGGGAGAGUCUUUGCCUGAUCCUGGGCUGCUCAGAGCGUGAGGCACAAGGUGGCCAGCCAGCCAGGGGCAGGAGAUGCAGAGCACCGUCAAUUACCUGUGGCACACCGACGACCUGCUGGGGCAGGGGGCCACCGCCAGUGUGUACAAGGCCCGAAACAAGAAAUCCGGGGAGCUGGUUGCUGUGAAGGUCUUCAACACUGCCAGCUACAUGCGACCCCGCGAGGUGCAGGUGAGGGAGUUCGAGGUCCUGCGGAAGCUGAACCACCAGAACAUCGUCAAGCUCUUCGCGGUGGAGGAGACGGGGGGCAGCCGGCAGAAGGUGCUGGUGAUGGAGUACUGCUCCAGUGGGAGCCUGCUGAGCGUGCUUGAGAGCCCCGAGAACGCCUUCGGGCUGCCGGAGGACGAGUUCCUGGUGGUGCUGCGCUGUGUGGUGGCUGGCAUGAACCACCUGCGGGAGAACGGCAUCGUCCACCGUGACAUCAAGCCCGGGAACAUCAUGCGCCUCCUGGGGGAGGAGGGGCAGAGCAUCUACAAGCUGACGGACUUCGGGGCCGCCCGCGAGCUGGACGACGAUGAGAAGUUCAUCUCGGUCUAUGGGACUGAGGAGUACCUGCACCCUGACAUGUAUGAGCGGGCAGUGCUUCGCAAGCCCCAGCAGAAGGCGUUCGGGGUGGCUGUGGAUCUCUGGAGCAUUGGGGUGACCCUGUACCACGCAGCCACCGGCAGCCUGCCCUUUGUCCCCUUCGGUGGGCCACGGCGAAACAAAGAGAUCAUGUACCGGAUAACCACAGAGAAGCCAGCCGGGGCCAUUGCAGGCACCCAGAGGCGGGAAAACGGGCCUUUGGAGUGGAGCUACAGCCUCCCCAUCACCUGCCGGCUGUCAUCGGGGCUGCAGAGCCAGCUGGUGCCCAUCCUGGCCAACAUCCUGGAGGUGGAGCAGGCCAAGUGCUGGGGCUUCGACCAGUUCUUUGCGGAGACCAGCGACAUCCUGCAGCGAGUCAUUGUGCACGUCUUCUCCCUGUCCGAGGCGGUCCUGCACCACGUCUACAUCCAUGGCCACAACACGAUAGCCAUCUUUCUGGAGGCUGUGUAUGAGCAGACCAAUGUGGCCCCCCAGCACCAGGAGUACCUCUUUGAGGGUCACCUCUGUGUCCUCGAGCCCAACCUGUCAGCACAGCACAUUGCCCACACGACGGCAAGCAGCCCCCUGACCCUGUUCAGCAUGGCCAGCGAGACCCCCAAGGGACUGGCCUUCAGGGACCCGGCUCUGGACAUCCCCAAGUUUGUUCCCAAAGUGGACCUGCAGGCAGAUUACAACACGGCCAAGGGCGUGUUGGGCGCAGGCUACCAGGCCCUGCGGCUGGCGCAGGCCCUGCUGGCUGGGCAGGAGCUCAUGCUUCGGGGGCUGCACUGGUUUGUGGAGAUCCUCCAGGCCACGUGCAGGCGGACACUGGAGGUCACGAGGAUGGCCCUCCUCUUCCUCAGCAGCAGCCUGGGCACCGACAGGUUCAGCAAUGGGGCUGGGACGCCUGAAAUCCAGGAAUUGAAGAGGGCCACAGAACUGAGGUCCCAGCUGCGGACUCUGGCUGGGGUCCUCUCCAGGUGUUCCCACAAUAUCACAGAGACCCAGAUGAGCCUGAGCAGCCUGAGCUCUGAGCUGGUGAAGAAUCGGGAUCAGGUACAUGAAGACAGAAGGCGACCAGAAGAGAAAUUUCUGCUCCACUCCCAUCCCCAGCUGUCACCACUGGUCCCUUAUGUUUCAGGGCCCAAGACUUCUUCCCGGAGUCUGUCCUCAAGCCUUCUUGUGCAGCACAGCACCCAGAAGAUUCAGUGCUGUCUGGACAAGAUGUACCUUAUCUACAAACAGUUCAAGAAAUCCCGGGUGAGGCCAGGGCUCGGCUACAAUGAGGAGCAGAUUCACAAGCUGGAUAAGGUGAAUUUUAGCCAUUUAGCUAAAAGGCUCCUGCAAGUGUUCCAGGAGGAGUGUGUACAGAAGUAUCAGACAUCUCUGGUCACACACGGCAAGCACAUGAGAGAGAGAAGAGAAUCCAUGAAAGUCUUGACCUUGAUUUGCUGUGGAACCAGGAGUGUGGGCACUUCCCAUAGGUGGUGCACGAGACCAGGAACCACCUGCGCCUGGUCGGCUGCUCCGUGGCCGCCUGUAACACCGAAGCCCAGGGAGCCCAGGAGAGCCUCAGCAAGCUCCUUGACCGGCUGUCUCAGCAGCUCCUCCAGGACAGAGCAAAGGGGGCUCAGGCCUCCCCACCCCCCACAGCUCCUUAUCCCAGCCCUGCGCUGAAGGACCUCGUUCUCCACAUGCAGGAGCUCUACGAGGAGAUGAAGCUGCUGGCAUUUGACCUCCAGGACAACAACCGCAUCAUCGAAGGGUUAAGUAGGGUCCCAUCGACUCCUGGCGUCUGAGCUCUGUGGGGUGCGUGGGGCAUCCUGAAGCAUUAGAAUCGUUCAAACACUGCUCUCCUGCCUGCACUGUGGGACCCAACACAGGAAGAUUUCUGGUCCCACCUUAUCAGCCUACCUCCCUCCUGGCCGACAGCUGGGAGAUGUCACCAGCAUUACCUUCCACUGCCUUUCUGCGGAGGCAGCAUAGCAGGACCUGGGGCACCAGGCCAUCGCUGUCAGGACCCACUGCUGGGCUGACCUUGUAUCUGAUGCAGGCUCAGCUACAGCUCCUCCGCCUCCUGGCCUGUAGCUGAACCUGGCCAGGCUGUGGGGAGAAGAGGCUCUGACAGGCACCUCCCCUAUCCCCUCUGCUUUACGGGGCUCUGCUCCUCAGGGAACAGAAGGGGAGGGCUCCUGGGGUUUCCCCAGGGUGCUGGGUCAAACUACCUAAUGUAGUCUUCCUUCCUCCUAAGGUGUUUCUCAUUGGACUAAGCCCUUUCCUCUCUUCUGUGGUCUCUGAGGGUCACCACGCCCAGCCCAGGCAUUGCAGAGCCUGAUGCUCCUUCUCCUCUUGGUCUGACUGAGCCUGUGGUUGAGAGAAUGGGUGGUCGAUGCCAGGUGUCAAUGUCCCGGGACCCUUUUCCUCCUCUCCCUCUGAGGCACCACCAGGUUCUGGACAUGCAGCCAGCCGGUGCCAGCAGCAACGUGCCAAUUAGCAUAGGCCUGGACGUCCAGAGCCCCGAGGAGAUAAAGGCCUGCACCUUCCAGAAGUGGAAUAAAGGUGGCCUUCCUUUCUGUUUC